CAACAGCCAAGAAGCACUGCUGCCUACAAGCAAUUGGUGUGCAGAAGCCUGAUUGUGCUGCUUUAUCUUGAAAAGCUAUGGAAGGUUACAUAUAUGUAAGGUUUUAUAUCCAAGACUCACCUGAUUCCUUUGGCCCAAACAGCUUUGUUCAGUCUGGUAUCAAUACGAACAUCAGGAGUACGCAUUUCUUUCACUGCAAACUU